rfam:Gorilla gorilla gorilla genomic chromosome, chr5, whole genome shotgun sequence
GCCAGGUGUGGUGGUGUGCGCCUGUAAUCCCAGCUACUCUGGAGGCUGAGGCAGGAGAAUUGCUUGAGCCCAGGAGGCGGAGGUUGCAGUGAGUUGGGAUUGUGCCACUGCACUCCAGCCUGGACGACAGAGCGAUACUCUGUCUCAA